GGUACAGAGUCAAUGUGGAGGCUAUAUACAGGGGGUACCGGUACAGAGUCAAUGUGGAGGCUAUAUACAGGGGGUAUCGGUACAGACUCAAUGUGGAGGCUAUAUACAGGGGGUACCGGUACAGAGUCAAUGUGGAGGCUAUAUACAGUGGGUACCGGUACAGAGUCAAUGUGGAGGCUAUAUACAGUGGGUACCGGUACAGAGUCAAUGUGGAGGCUAUAUACAGGGGGUACCGGUACAGAGUCAAUGUGGAGGCUAUAUACAGGGGGUACCGGUACAGAGUCAAUGUGGAGGCUAUAUACAGGGGGUACCGGUACAGAGUCAAUGCGGAGGCUAUAUACAGGGAGUAGUUGUACAGAGUCAAUGUGGAGGCUAUAUACAGGGGGGUACCGGUACAGAGUCAAUGUGGAGGCUAUAUACAGGUGGGUACCGGUACAGAGUCAAUGUGGAGGCUAUAUACAGGGGGUACCGGUACAGAGUCAAUGUGGAG
rnacentral:lncRNA from 1 species